rnacentral:rRNA from 1 species
AAUUAAAGUGGUACGCGAGCUGGGUUCAGAACGUCGUGAGACAGUUUGGUCCCUAUCUGCCGUGGGUGUUGGAAGAACGUCGUGAGACAGUUCGGUCAACUUGAGAGGAUCUGUCCUUAGUACGAGAGGACCGGGAUGGACAUACCUCUGGUGGACCUGUCGUGGCGCCAGCCGCGCAGCAGGGUAGCUAUGUAUGGACGGGAUAAUCGCUGAAUGCAUCUAAGCGAGAAACCCACCUCAAAACCAGGUUUCCCUUGAGAGCCGUCGUAGACGACGACGUCGAUAGGCUGGGUGUGGACGCGCCGCGAGGCGUGGAGCUAACCAGUACUAAUUGCUCGAUAGGCUUGAUC